rnacentral:rRNA from 1 species
UACAGAGGUCUCGAGCGUUGUUCGGAUUCAUUGGGCGUAAAGGGUGCGUAGGCGGCCAACUAAGUCGGAUGUGAAAUCCCCAGGCUUAACCUGGGAACUGCAUCCGAUACUGGAUGGCUUGAAUUCGGGAGAGGGAUGCAGAAUUCCAGGUGUAGCGGUGAAAUGCGUAGAUAUCUGGAGGAAUACCGGUGGCGAAGGCGGCAUCCUGGACCGACAUUGACGCUGAGGAGCGAAAGCCAGGGGAGCAAACGGG